ACGGCGUCUAUGUUUAUUUCUUAGUUUCUUACACCAGGCCAGAAACUUCCUCCACCAUUUCACUCUUCGCACGAAACCUCCAUCUUCACCAGCACCACCACCAAUACCAGCCCCACCGCCACCAAUACCAGUCCCAGCACCGCCGUCACUAUAGAGAGGAUCAAAAGGAGUGUUAUGAAUUAAACGAAGUCUACUUGUGUCCCUUCGGAGCAAUGGUAUUUCUGCAAGGUCUUCAUCAAAAUAUUGGUUAUAAUGAAAGAUAUUGCUUUCUGGGAAGUCGCCCAUCAUAUAACUCACCACCGAAAACCAGCUCUAAGACCCAUCCGUGCACCUAAUGCCACACACCGCGGUAUGUGACUUUUCACCGUGAUAUGCAGUAAACUCACACCGAUCCACCUUGUUCCACCGUGGGAAACGGAGUUUAUCGGGGACGUCAUGUGCAUACACUUGCUUAUUUAUAAGAAAAUGAAGGGGAAAGUUUGCGCCUAAAAACAAGAAAUCCUCUUUACGGAGAAAUCGUGAUGCCGAACACAACCAACUUAUGAACGACUACUUUGGCUAUAAUGCAGUGUACGUGGAAAAAUUCACACGUUGUUCGAAUGAUUAGACGUCAUGUACUAGUUUACUAUGUUGUAAUUAUGUUUUUUUUUAUCUUUUAAAUUUAGUAUGUAUUUCGUAAUUAAUGAAUUAUGUUUCUUUUAUUAGUUUAUAUAAUUAUGUUUUAUUCAAUUAAAAAAAGAAAAACAAUGAAAAAAGUAUUGUAAAGUGUGAUAUGACAUCAAUCUGUUUGGUGUGGUGAAGGAAAAAUAAAGU